AGUCAACCUAACCUAUGGACGGGAAUAACCUCGGGAAACUGAGAAUAAUGCCCGAUAGAACACUAUACCUGGAAUGGUUUGUGUUCCAAAUGAUUUAUCGCCGUAGGAUGGGACUGCGGCCUAUCAGUUUGUUGGUGAGGUAAUGGCCCACCAAGACUAUUACAGGUACGGGCUCUGAGAGGAGUAGCCCGGAGAUGGGUACUGAGACACGGACCCAGGCCCUAUGGGGCGCAGCAGGCGAGAAAACUUUGCAAUGUGCGAAAGCACGACAAGGUUAAUCCGAGUGGUUUGUGCUAAACGAACCUUUUGUCGGUCCUAGAAACACCGAUGAAUAAGGGGUGGGCAAGUUCUGGUGUCAGCCGCCGCGGUAAAACCAGCACCUCAAGUGGUCAGGAUGAUUAUUGGGCCUAAAGCAUCCGUAGCCGGCUCUGUAAGUUUUCGGUUAAAUCUGUACGCUCAACGUACAGGCUGCCGGGAAUACUGCAGAGCUAGGGAGUGGGAGAGGUAGACGGUACUCGGUAGGAAGGGGUAAAAUCCUUUGAUCUAUUGAUGACCACCUGUGGCGAAGGCGGUCUACCAGAACACGUCCGACGGUGAGGGAUGAAAGCUGGGGGAGCAAACCGGAUUAGAUACCCGGGUAGUCCCAGCUGUAAACUAUGCAAACUCAAUGAUGCAUUGGCUUGUGGCCAAUGCAGUGCU
rnacentral:rRNA from 1 species